rnacentral:rRNA from 1 species
UACGAAGGGGGCAAGCGUUGCUCGGAAUUACUGGGCGUAAAGGGCGCGUAGGCGGUUCGUACAGUCAGGCGUGAAAUUCCCGGGCUUAACCUGGGGGCUGCGUUUGAUACGUGCGGGCUUGAGUUCGGAAGAGGGUCGUGGAAUUCCCAGUGUAGAGGUGAAAUUCGUAGAUAUUGGGAAGAACACCGGUGGCGAAGGCGACGAUCUGGACAGACACUGACGCUGAGACGCGAAAGCGUGGGGAGCAAACAGG